GGCCAUUUACAUGAAUUGUGUGAACGAUGUUGCUUCUUAUUGCAUUUCAAUUUCUAAAAUAUCAUCCCAAGAUUUUACAUUGCGUUAUAUUGAUGACAUACGGCAAGAUAUACAGGAUCUUAUGAAACGAACUGGAUGCCAGUAUAGUAAUCAAAACUUUGCAAUUAAGAGAAACGUUUCAGGUGCCGGUGGUCAAUUACAAAAUGUUUGGAUUAUUGCUUUGGGAUUUCUGGUUCGUAUCUUCUUCAAUCAAUGUGGAUUAUGAGGAGAAAAAGACAUGUCAAUAGCACAACCAACUCUUCUUAUAAUCAUUAGCUAUUAUAAGCAUAAACAUGUUUACAUUUAAAAUGUCUAAUUAAUGUACCUUAAUAUUCUUCUA